rnacentral:misc_RNA from 1 species
UAACGGUCGUUACUGUUACUUAACCGUAAACGGCACCGUGAUCGUUACGUGGCUGUAAUGGCCAGCAUUCGUGCAAAUCAAGAUAUACCUUUACAUAACAGCCUAACAGGUAACAGUUCCGCUAAAAACUUGUAAAUAACAGCCGUUAUGUUGUGUAACAGCCGUUAUUUAAAAUCAUGAUUGAAGGUUCAUAAUAAUUAAAAAAAUAUAUUUCUUUGACAUGAAAGAUAUAAAAUUUACUGAUGUAAAUGUUGGACAUAUAAUUUAGGGUGAAGAAAAGUCACAAUUG